rnacentral:snRNA from 1 species
AAGACUAUACUUUCAGGGAUCAUUUCUAUAGUUCGUUA